UUUUUUUUUUUUUUUUUGAGACAGAAUUUCUCUCUUGUCACCCAAGCUGGAGUGCAAUGGCGUGAUCUUGGCUCACUGCAACCUCUGCCUCCUGGAUUCAAGUGAUUCUCCUGCCUCAGCCUCACAAGUAGCUGGGAUUACAAAGCCAGCUAGCUUUAAGAUACAGUGUUGGGUAUCACGUUUUGGCACAAAGCAGGCAAUCUUUUCUUUGACCCCAGGUGGGACUAAGCCACCACAAGCCUUCCCUGGUGUGUGCAGUGGGUGAUGAAUGCUUGCCUGCUCAGCACCCAGUACACGGUGGGCUGGGUCACAUUACUCUGACUCCCCCUUAAGCUUCAGUCCAUGCCUGGUUCUAGAUGUAUUGACUCAACUCUAGGAUCCAGAGGUGGGAUGUGGCUCUGGCCUGGCCAGAGGACAGAGGAUGCUGCAUGCCAUGGCUACAGCAACUGGUUCAGUUUGGGCUCAUGUCCUAGUCAGAGCCAAUGAGAUGUAAUCUUGGGAUAUCUGCUGGGCUGUUGGGAAGGGGACAGGCUGCCCUGUUCAUCCCCAUUCCUGAUGCUGAGGGAUCUGAGAAAAUCACUUGUAAAAUUUGGGGGUGUUUGGAAGAAGGGGAGUCUGAUGUCUCCUUUUCUCUACAGACAUCUGAUCAGCUACAGGGCUUGACUGACCUACCCAGAGGCAGAAUGAUAUGGUGGUUAAAAGUAUGCUCUGGGCCAAGAUCUUGCCACUGCACUCCAGCCUGGGUGACAGAGUGAGACUCCGUCUCAAAAAAAAAAAAGUGUGCUCUGGGCUGGGCGCGGGGGCUUACGACUGUAAUCCCAGCACUUUGGGAGGCUGAGGCAGGAGGAUCGCUUGAAGUCAGGAGUUUGGGAUCAGAUCCUAUCUCUAGAAAAAUGAUUUUUAAAAAUUAGCUGGGUUGGUGGUGAAUGCCUGUAGUCCCAGCUACUCGGGAGGCUGAGGCGGGAAGAUUGCUGGAGCCCGAGAGUUCAAGGCUGCAGUGAGCUAUGAUCAGGCCACUGCACUCCAGUUUGAGGGACAGAGAGAGAUCCCAUCUCCCUAAAGAACAAAAAAGUGUGCUCUGGGGCCGCACUGCCUGGUUAGAUCCUUUGUCCACCACUUAGAUGCAUGUUAUAUAAAUGCUCCCUCAAUUUCCUCGUCUGUAACUUGGGGAUGGUAAUGCUGCCCCAUGAAGUGGUUGUGGGGACUAAAUGCACGUGGGCACAUUGGUAAGUAUUCAACAAGCUUGAUUUUUCCUGGAGAGGGAGAAAGAGCAUACAGUGAAGUGGCAUGGUCAGGUGCAUUGGGGCAAGGAUUAUUUCCUCUGGCUUCUGCCUCCUGGGAGGUACUAAGGAUGGAUCUGAAAUGUGUCUGCAGACCCCGGAGUUGGGGACUGCAGAGGGAAAUUGAGAUCAGGGACCCCAGUCUGGCAGAAAUGGGUGCAGCAUGGGGCAUUGGGUUCCUUCCAUCAGAGGCAUGGGGUGUGUUGCAGACAGUCAUGAGAUGUGGCUGAAUCUUGCAAGGGAGCCGCUGUUCUAGGGUUGCUGCUUGAGACAAAGACCACUGUCAGUGGAACCUGGUGACCUUCACCCUUCUGUGUCAGGCUGCAGACAGCAAGAGAUGGCAGCAGAUUACACCCAACAGGAAAAGGGCCAUUGCUAUCCCACAGGUUGCCGUAGGAGGGGAUGAUAUCUCUUCCCUCUCCUCCUCCAGCAGUGUCAGCUGGGGAAGAGGUGGGUUGGUGUGCACAAAAGAGUAGACCGCAGACCAUGCUGCUUCUCCUCCAGUCUGCUGGGGCCCCAAGAGAGUCUGCAGCCCUUGGCCAGGGACCGGCUGACACAGGAGAACAAAAGAUCUCAGGCUGGGAUAACAUGGUGGUGCAGUUCAUCUUCUGGAGCUCCCUGUGAGAUCAGACUGGAGCCAGUCUCCAGCUGAGACCACAUCUCACUUAGCUCCUUCCCUGCCAUAUCCUGUUUUCCUUACUGCUAUCUCCUGAGAGUCCUGAAUGAAUUACACGCACUCAAUCCGUGCCUCAGGCUCUGUUUUUCGGGAACUUGACCUAAGACAGAUAUCUUAGUACUAAAUACUUUGCAAGGCCUCAGAAGCUCUGCUAUCCACAGGCAGGUGAGAUAUUACCUUCCCUACCACCUGGCAGUCAUAGUCUUAUGAUGCGACUCAGCUUUGUGGAAGUGCUUCUCUAAAGAACUUCCCCCAAUUUAAGAUGAUCUUAAUUUGCUUACUUGUUUACUGUCCAUUCAGCUGCUCUAAAAUGUGAGCUCCAAAUCAGGGGCCAUGUCUGGUUGGUUACCCAUUUCCUGGGACCUAGAACGGGCCUAGCUCAGAGCAGGUGCUCACUAUUGAUGGAAUGCCUGUUGAAAGAAUGCGUGAAUCUCAUCUCCUUUUGUGGGUGAAAAACUCAUCCUAUUCUCACUCCUGAUCAACUUUCUUUCUUUCUUUCUUUCUUUUUUUUUUCCAAAACGGAGCCCUGAUCUGUCACCCAGGCUGGAGUGCAAUGGUGCAAUCUCGGCUCGCUGCAACCUCUGCCUUCUGGAUUAAAGCAAUUCUCCUGCCUCAGCCUCCCGGGUAGCUGGGAUUACAGGUGCACGCCACCACGCCCGGCUAAUUUUUUGUAUUUUUAAUAGAGACAGGGUUUCACCAUGUUGGCCAGGCUGGUCUCGAACCCCUGACCUUGUGAUCUGCCCGCUUGGCCUCCCAAAGUCCUGGGAUUACAAACAUGAGCCACCGUACCCAGCCACUCUUGAUUAACUUAAUGGAAAUAUUUACAGAGAUUCUCUCUCUUCUGGGUUCUAGAGUCUUCUCUGUAACCUCUGCAGGUAAUACAUUUUCCUUCCUGAUAAUAGCAUUUCUAUGGUUGCUUUCACUUUCAAAUCCUCUAAUACUUAUUUAUUCCAUUUCUGAUUGGCAUUAGACAUAAUUCUCAAUUUUUAGUGACAGCACUUUUGUUAACUUACAUAUAAAUCGACUUUGCCUUGAAAUGUGACAUUGACUAGAAGAAUGACACUUCUAACAUGCUGUAGAACAUAGUUUGACUGGCUAAUUUAUUAUUUAGAAGAAGCUAAUAUUGCCAUUAUGAGGGACUUAGGUGGCUCUGAAGAACCAGUUGUAUUUCUGAUGUUUGCAAUGUUAAAUCACAGAUACUGCCAAUGUGAAAUAGUUUCCGUAUGCUGUGUUCUCAGUACACACCUUUUCCAAAGAUAUCCCAAGCUGUAGUCUUAGGAAACUGUGAUUUUUCUUGUUUGGUCUCAUAGGAAUUUGGGGAGCUAUGCGGGAUCUCCAUAAAAUGAGCUCCAGAAAGACACAUGUGUGCACAUACACACACACACACACAUACUCACACAUGUACUACACCACAAUUGACUCCGUUUAUUUGGGACCCAUGAUUAUUUUCAACAAACACUUCUGAGAAAUAAUCUGAACACUUAACUGGAUGCAAAAGAGUGGGUAUUUACUAUUCUACCCUUUAAUUAGCAUAAUCAGUGUUUCCAGCAUCAAAAGCAAUUGGAAAAUCGCUAGUUUUAUUAGGUUCAUUAUUCUCCCUUAGCGUAGUGUGGCAUCAGCGUGGCUAUUAUUCUUAAAUUGGCUCUUUAAAACAAGGGCUGGUGCUUCUUACAGGCAAUUCCUAACUCUUGGGUUUUGUAGAGAGUCCAAAACUCUUUAGAACCUAUAAUUCAAGGAAAGGCUCCACUUUGGUUUUGCAUUUUGUCUGGUCUCUUUGGCUGACAGAAUUUAUGUCACAAGGUGCACAUGUUUGGGGGAGGCUCAUGGACAGCCCAUCAUGUUUGUGCUUUGGUAGGAAGUACUUGCCAUUAAGGGGAAGGAGUUAGUUACUGAUUCUAGGGAACAAUUGAGUAGAAAGAGAUGGACUCCCUGUGUUUGAAAUUCAGAACUCAAGCAUGGCUCUAAGUGUUUCCUUGCUUUGCUGUGCUCCAGGGGAGUCCUUGAGCAGAAGGAAGCAAGUUGCCUGAGAUUCUUCAAAGCCCCAGCCCUUUUGGAGGUUAGAUGGUUAUUCUCAGAGCCUUUAUGAUGCAUAAUAAAGACCUAGCUUGGACCAAUAUUAGGAUGAGUUAUCUUGCUAUGAACAUUCUUUUAGGUAGAAGUUGCUGGUCUCAUCUUGCUCACAAUCCUCCAAAGUUUGAAAGUUAUUUUCCAGGAGACUUGGCUUGCACUGAGAGCUGCCCUCCCAUCCUCUCUCCAAAUUUCCUCUUGGGGGUAGCCUAACAAGGUGCUGUCACAGACCCUUGUCAGCCACGAUGACCCCACCCAGACCAUCCCUCUGCUGUUUCACUCUUUGAUAGUCUCUGGAGCUCUCUGGGGAGGGGUGAGACCUGCCGUCUGGUUUGUGUGGUUUGCCCAGGUCUUACAGUCAUGGCUGGCUGCCUCUCUCUGAGAACUAGAACUCCUGAACUUGGUGAAAUACCUCAGCCAUCGAUCAUGUUGAAUUAUUGGGGACACUCAUUUAAAAUCCGAGCCUGUUCCAGGUGGACUCUCUCUCUUUCUGCCCUGACCGUCAGAGAAGCCCUGCUGGACGGUGGAGACACUCGUGGGCUGUGAGCAAGGGAUGCAAAGGCUGCCGGGAAUCCCAUCUUUCCAGCAUCAUCUGCCAAGGCACAUUAGUUCCUGGGUAUCUGGAUGGGUUCUAGCAGCAUUACUGUCAUUGAAGGAAAAAUUUUAGCCAUAUUAAAGGUUAAUGCAGCAAUCUCCACAUAGGCUGCCUGGAAGGGAAGCAGGACAAGGUUAGGUUUUCCUUGUGAUGGACAGGAGGCAGGCGGCCCUCCCACAGCCCUGCCUGGCAAUGCAGAUGUGUCCCCAAAAGGCACUGGGGGCCAGCUGGAGUGCUAUGCUGAGGCGGACUGACCCGGGCCAUGGGUUCAUUCUGAUGGCAGCGGUUUCCCGCCAGCUCCUUGCAGAGCUGGCAGAUGGCCCAGCCCCACAGCCGGAGCCGGGAAUGGCAGAACGAGACACAACAAUUUGAUAUCCACUUGCCAGAUGAGCCAGGUGUCGUCAGUCGCCUGGCUCUGUGCCCAACCUCUUUUUGCAUAAACACUUAUGAAUUCAGCCAAGAGGAAAAGCACUCUGAUUAUGAAUUGAGCAGAAGGAAACAAAGUUCUGCAGAUAAACACCAAUGAAACAAAAAACCACGAAUAAGAAAAAUGAUAGAAAAGGAGAACCUUCCCAGAAUCCUCCUGCCAGUGAACGGUCACCAGAGCAAGAGCAUGGAGGCCCUGGGUUUUGAACUGUGAGACAAGGAAGAUGAUGAAAACCUCCCUAGCAGCCAGUUUACAGGUGUAUCCAGCAGCUCCAGAGAGACAGCGACCAGCGAGAAGGGGCCAUAAUGAUGGUGGCGGUUUUGUCAAAAAGAAACGGGGGAUAUGCCGGGAAAAGAAAGAGAGAUCAGACUGUUACUGUGUCUACAUAGAAAGGGAAGACAUAAGAGACUCCAUUUUGAAAAAGACCUGUACUUUAAACAAUUGCUUUGCUGAGAUGUUCUUAAUCUGCGGCUUUGCCCCAGCCAGUUUGACCCAACCACUUUGACCCAACCUGGAGCUCACAAAAACAUGUGUUGUAUGAAAUCAAGGUUUAAGGGAUGUAGGGCUGUGCAGGACGUGCCUUGUUUACAAAAUGUUUACAAGCAGUAGACUUGGUAAAAGUCAUUGCCAUUCUCUAGUCUCAAUAAACCAGGGGCACAAUGCACUGCGGACAGCUGCAAGGACUUCUGCCCUUGAAUGCUGGGUAUUGUCCAGGGUUUCUCCCCAUGUGAUAGUCCGAAAAAUGGCCUCAUGGGAUGAGAAAGACCUGACGGCCCCCCAGCCCGACACCCGUAAAAGUCUGUGCUGAGGUGGAUUAGUCAGAGGAAAGCCUCUUGCAGUUGAGAGAGAGGAAGGCCACUGUCUCCUGCCUGUCCCUGGGAACUGAAUGUCUUGGUAUAAAACCCGAUUGUACAUUUGUUCAAUUCUGAGAUGGGAGAAGAACCGCCGUAAGGUGGGAGGCAAGACAUGUUUACAGCAAUGCUGCCUUGUUAUUCUUUAUUCCACUGAGAUGUUUGGGUGGAGAGAAACAUAAAUCUGUCUUGCGUGCAUGUCCAGUCAUAGUACCUUCCCUUGAACUUCAUUAUGACAUAGAUUCUAUUGCUCACAUGUUUAUUGCUGACCUUCUCCUUAUUAUCACCCUGCCCUCCUACUACAUUCCUUUUUGCUGAAAUAAUGAAGAUAAUAAUCAAUAAAAACGGAGGGAACUCAGAGA